UCAUUAGUUUUUUAAUUAAAAGCUGGUAUGAAUGGUUUGAUGAAAAAAUGACUGUCUCUUUUUAAUAUUAUAGAAUUUUAUUUUUAAGUUAAAAAGCUUAAAUUUAUUUAAAAGACGAGAAGACCCUAUAGAGUUUUAUAANUUAGUUAAUAAUUAAAAUAUGGGAAAAUUAAUUUUUUAUUAGUUGAUUUAUUUAAUUGGGGUGAUUAAAAAAUUAAAUUAACUUUUUUUAUUAUAAGCCAUUAAUUAGUGAAUUCUUGAUCCAUUAAUAGUGAUUAUAAGAAUAAAUUACCUUAGGGAUAACAGCGUUAUUUUUUUUGAGAGUUCUUAUCGAAAGAAAAGAUUGCGACCUCGAUGUUGGAUUAAAAUUAAUUUUUGGUGUAGCAGCUAAAAAUUUUAGGUCUGUUCGACCUUUGAAAUUUUACAUGAUCUGA
rnacentral:rRNA from 1 species